rnacentral:rRNA from 1 species
AGCGAACGCUGGCGGCAGGCUUAACACAUGCAAGUCGAGCGGGCACUUUCGGGUGUCAGCGGCGGACGGGUGCGUAACACGUGGGAACGUGCCCUCUGGUUCGGAAUAACUCAGGGAAACUUGAGCUAAUACCGGAUACGCCCUUUUGGGGAAAGGCUUGCUGCCGGAGGAUCGGCCCGCGUCUGAUUAGCUAGUUGGUGAGGUAACGGCUCACCAAGGCGACGAUCAGUAGCUGGUCUGAGAGGAUGAUCAGCCACACUGGGACUGAGACACGGCCCAGACUCCUACGGGAGGCAGCAGUGGGGAAUAUUGGACAAUGGGCGCAAGCCUGAUCCAGCCAUGCCGCGUGAGUGAUGAAGGCCUUAGGGUUGUAAAGCUCUUUUAUCCGGGACGAUAAUGACGGUACCGGAGGAAUAAGCCCCGGCUAACUUCGUG